rnacentral:rRNA from 1 species
GGCGGCGUGCCUAAUACAUGCAAGUCGAACGAACUCUGGUAUUGAUUGGUGCUUGCAUCAUGAUUUACAUUUGAGUGAGUGGCGAACUGGUGAGUAACACGUGGGAAACCUGCCCAGAAGCGGGGGAUAACACCUGGAAACAGAUGCUAAUACCGCAUAACAACUUGGACCGCAUGGUCCGAGUUUGAAAGAUGGCUUCGGCUAUCACUUUUGGAUGGUCCCGCGGCGUAUUAGCUAGAUGGUGGGGUAACGGCUCACCAUGGCAAUGAUACGUAGCCGACCUGAGAGGGUAAUCGGCCACAUUGGGACUGAGACACGGCCCAAACUCCUACGGGAGGCAGCAGUAGGGAAUCUUCCACAAUGGACGAAAGUCUGAUGGAGCAACGCCGCGUGAGUGAAGAAGGGUUUCGGCUCGUAAAACUCUGUUGUUAAAGAAGAACAUAUCUGAGAGUAACUGUUCAGGUAUUGACGGUAUUUAACCAGAAAGCCACGGCUAACUACGUGCCAGCAGCCGCGGUAAUACGUAGGUGGCAAGCGUUGUCCGGAUUUAUUGGGCGUAAAGCGAGCGCAGGCGGUUUUUUAAGUCUGAUGUGAAAGCCUUCGGCUCAACCGAAGAAGUGCAUCGGAAACUGGGAAACUUGAGUGCAGAAGAGGACAGUGGAACUCCAUGUGUAGCGGUGAAAUGCGUAGAUAUAUGGAAGAACACCAGUGGCGAAGGCGGCUGUCUGGUCUGUAACUGACGCUGAGGCUCGAAAGUAUGGGUAGCAAACAGGAUUAGAUACCCUGGUAGUCCAUACCGUAAACGAUGAAUGCUAAGUGUUGGAGGGUUUCCGCCCUUCAGUGCUGCAGCUAACGCAUUAAGCAUUCCGCCUGGGGAGUACGGCCGCAAGGCUGAAACUCAAAGGAAUUGACGGGGGCCCGCACAAGCGGUGGAGCAUGUGGUUUAAUUCGAAGCUACGCGAAGAACCUUACCAGGUCUUGACAUACUAUGCAAAUCUAAGAGAUUAGACGUUCCCUUCGGGGACAUGGAUACAGGUGGUGCAUGGUUGUCGUCAGCUCGUGUCGUGAGAUGUUGGGUUAAGUCCCGCAACGAGCGCAACCCUUAUUAUCAGUUGCCAGCAUUAAGUUGGGCACUCUGGUGAGACUGCCGGUGACAAACCGGAGGAAGGUGGGGAUGACGUCAAAUCAUCAUGCCCCUUAUGACCUGGGCUACACACGUGCUACAAUGGAUGGUACAACGAGUUGCGAACUCGCGAGAGUAAGCUAAUCUCUUAAAGCCAUUCUCAGUUCGGAUUGUAGGCUGCAACUCGCCUACAUGAAGUCGGAAUCGCUAGUAAUCGCGGAUCAGCAUGCCGCGGUGAAUACGUUCCCGGGCCUUGUACACACCGCCCGUCACACCAUGAGAGUUUGUAACACCCAAAGUCGGUGGGGUAACCUUUUAGGA